rnacentral:rRNA from 1 species
GACGAACGCUGGCGGCGUGCUUAACACAUGCAAGUCGAACGGAAAGGCCCUGCUUUUGUGGGGUGCUCGAGUGGCGAAAGGGUGAGUAACACGUGAGUAACCUGCCCUUGACUUUGGGAUAUCUUCAGGAAACUGGGGCUAAUACCGCAUAGGAGCUCCUGCUGCAUGGUGGGGGUUGGAAAGUUUGGGCGGUUGGGGAUGGACUCGCGGCUUAUCAGCUUGUUGGUGGGGUAGUGGCUUACCAAGGCUUUGACGGGUAGCCGGCCUGAGAGGGUGACCGGCCACAUUGGGACUGAGGGACGGCCCAGACUGCUACGGGAGGCAGCAGUCGGGAAUAUUGCACAAUGGGCGGAAGCCUGAGGCAGCAACGCCGGGUGCGGGAUGACGGGCUUUGGGUUGUAAACCGCUGUCGCCGGUGACGAAGCGUGAGUGACGGUAAUGGGUAAAGAAGCACCGGCUAACUACGUG